GGGAAUUAGCUCAGUAGGGAGAGCGCAUGACUGGCAGUCAUGAGGUCAGGGGUUCGAAUCCCCUAUUCUCC
rnacentral:tRNA from 1 species